rnacentral:rRNA from 1 species
UACGUAGGGGGCAAGCGUUGUCCGGAUUUAUUGGGCGUAAAGAGCGUGUAGGCGGCUAGGUAGGUCCGUUGUGAAAACUCGAGGCUCAACCUCGAGACGUCGAUGGAAACCAUCUAGCUAGAGUCCGGAAGAGGAGAGUGGAAUUCCUGGUGUAGCGGUGAAAUGGCGCAGAUAUCAGGAGGAACACCGGUGGCGAAGGCGGUUCUCUGGGCAUUACCUGACGCUGAGGAGCGAAAGUGUGGGGAGCGAACAGG